CGGGCCAAGUCCCCUGGAACGGGGCGCCGUGGAGGGUGAGAGCCCCGUACGCCCGGGCCGCCGUCGCCGCCAGAAGCUCCUUCGGCGAGUCGAGUUGUUUGGGAAUGCAGCUCCAAGCGGGAGGUAAAUUUCUUCUAAGGCUAAAUAUCGGCCGGAGACCGAUAGCGCACAAGUAGAGUGAUCGAAAGAUGAAAAGCACUUUGGAAAGAGAGUCAAACAGCACGUGAAAUUGUUGAAAGGGAAGCUCUUGCCGCCAGACUUGCCGCGGUCGUUCAGCCGCCCCCCGGGGCGGUGCACUCGUCCGCCGGCGGGCCAGCGCGGGCUCGGGCGGCCGGAUAAAGGCCCUGGGAAUGUGCCCCCCCGCGGGGGGUGUUAUAGCCCUGGGCGCAAUGCGGCCAGCCCGGGCCGAGGCACGCGAUCGCUAGGGCGCUGGCGUAAUGGCUGCAAGCGACCCGUCUUGAAACACGGACCAAGGAGUCUAACGUCCCCGCGAGUGUUUGGGCGUCAAACCCAUGCGCGAAAUGAAAGUGAACGGAGGUGGGAACCCCCAGAGGGCGCACCAUCGACCGAUCCUGAUGUCCUCGGAUGGAUUUGAGUAAGAGCGUGGCCGUGGGGACCCGAAAGACGGUGAACUAUGCGUGUAUAGGGUGAAGCCAGAGGAAACUCUGGUGGAGGCUCGCAGCGGUUCUGACGUGCAAAUCGAUCGUCAAAUAUGCGUAUAGGGGCGAAAGACUAAUCGAACCGUCCAAACUGCUAGGCGGUUUAGAGAUGCCCCNNNGGGGCUUCUAUCCCCGCGGUCUGAUUGCUAGUAGCUGGUUCCCGCCGAAGUUUCCCUCAGGAUAGCAGUGACGUAUUCAGUUUUAUGAGGUAAAGCGAAUGAUUAGAGGCCUUGGGGUUGAAACAACCUUGUGAGUACCAGAGAGCCCCCCCGCCUGAGGCUUCGUUGCCCCUGCUGACCCCGUACCCAGAACCUAUUCUCAAACUUUGAAUAUGUAAGAAGCCCUUGUUGCUUUAAUGAACGUGGGCGCUCGAAUGCACCGUCACUAGUGGGCCAUUUUUGGUAAGCAGAACUGGCGAUGCGGGAUGAACCGAAAGCGGGGUUAAGGUGCCGGAGUGGACGCUCAUCAGACACCACAAAAGGUGUUAGUUCAUCCAGACAGCCGGUAAGCAAGCCCCCAUUCUCCGGGGGCUAUACGCCAGCUAACGCACCCCCCAGGACGGUGGCCAUGGAAGUCGGAACCCGCUAAGGAGUGGUGAGUGUUAUCCCCCAUGCCCCCUCUAUCAGCUCUAGAUAGGCGCUAACGUGGCUGUUUCUAGUGUAACAACUCGUGAGUCAACGCCCCCCGCCGGCGCCCUCGCCGUGAACAAGCUGACAUUGAAUCAGACCGGCCGAAUGAACUAGCCCUGAAAAUGGAUGGCGCUCAAGCGUCCCACCCACACCCCGCCGCCGGGGCAGGAACGAAGCCCCGGCGAGUAGGCGGGCGCGGGGGU
rnacentral:rRNA from 1 species